rnacentral:misc_RNA from 1 species
GACCUUAAUUGCUAGGUGCUCAUGGAUAUCUGAAUGAGAAGCUAGGUCUUACGCAUGAGAAUUGUAAAGAAAAAAAGGGGAAAAAGGGUUCUUAUGUUGGUUUUUGAAUGGCAGUGUUGGAUGGUUUCUUUAGCAAUUUAGCUCUUUGUAUGGUUUUCCUUUUUCUCUUUUUUCUUUCAUAUUUUCCUUGGAUUACAUGGGCUUU